AAAAUGGCUCAUUAACGAAGAAACGUAUCUUCAAAGGGGACGUUUUUCCGUCUGUCGACUUGGCCACGUGGUUGUUUGUGAUUGGAAGAAACCUAAUGCUUCUUUCUUCUUCGCCUCCUCCUCUUCUUCUUCUUCAUCUCUCAUCUCCGUCUCAGGGAGAGUGUUCACUUCCCCUUCAGCUCUUCGCUUCUUUCUUCUUCAUCCUCCUCAUCUUCUGUAUCCAAGAAGCUAUGGAGAAGAGCUUCGCUUCCUCCACCGCUCUCAAAACUGUGACCGAUCCGACGGCUUUGAUCUCCCCGCCGAUUCCGCCUUGCGAGGAUAAGUUCUUCGUGAAUCUCCCUUGCUAUGACUUUGUCUGGAGUGGGAAUCGCAGUCCUAGGGCGACGCGAUGAAGAACAAUCCAGGAAGACCGAUUCCGACUGAGAAGGUGGAUUUAUAUUAUAUCAUCGAUUCGUUUUGAUAUUGUCAAUUUUGAGUAAUUUAAGUGGAAUUUAGAUGGUGUAUAGGUUGGAAUUUAGAUGGUGGUAUUGUGAAUUUAGAUGGUGGUGUUGUGAAUUUGUGUGUACCGGUAUUCAAACUAAUUCAACUCCGGAAAUGAAUAGAGGAAGAUCCAAGAUUUAACUGGAUUGUUGGAUUUAACGAGUUUCCUCACCCAACUAUUGAUGCUAUCGUUGCAUUAGACUCAAUAGGACCGACUUUUUUCCUUGUUGUUUCCAUGUUUGGUUUUGUUCUUCAAAUCAGUUCUUUGAUUACCGAGAAAGAGCUUAAACGCCAGGCAAUGACGAUGAUGGGUGUUUUUGACACUGCUUAUUGGUUGUCAUGGCUUACAUUGGAAGGAAAAGUGAUAUUUACAACGUUGGUUUAUUAUUGACUUUCUCUCAGUACUUCCUGCCCCUCAGAUUGUAGUUUGGAGGUUCUUGCAAAGUUCAAAUUGGUCGGAUGUAUUGGCUACAAAGCAGGCCUUGCUUUUCAUUGUUUUGGUUCAGUAUAUACCACGAUUCCUACGCGUCUUACCUUUGACAUCAGAAUUGAAAAGGACUGCAGGUGUCUUUGCGGAAACUGCUUGGGCUGGCGCUGCUUAUUAUCUGCUUUUAUAUAUGCUUGCAAGUCAUGUGAGUGUAUAGCUUUCUCUCUUUAUAAUUUACAUUGCUCUUUUUGUUCAAUACUUGCCCAUUAUACCAUGAGUUAUGUGACAGUGGCAAUAAAAGGGCAAAACCAGGAAAUAGUUUCAUUUCUGUUUCAUACUUUCAUUGUUGUGAGCUUAUGUUCAAAUAUUCAGUUUCAUAAGACAUGUAAAGUAUCUUUCAAAUA